CUGGAGACCACGGAGCCUCAGCUACCGCCUCAGCCCUACCCGACAGGGGCCCGCCCAGGGGCCACUCCCCAAGGGAGGCAGCCAGUCACUCGCCCGCCCUUCCGGGCCCGCUCCAGAGGGGACGGUCUCCCGCCCGCCCUCACACAGCUCCUCAGGCCAGGCCCCCAGGGCUUCGUCCACCUCUCACCUUUGACGACGCGAAAGUGAGCCCCAGUGACUCAUGAAACUUUAUAGGGAUGGAUCUUCAUGGGGAAGAAAGCAGUGGGACAAGAACUGAUUGUUCAAUCAGUAAUUAUUGGAAGGAACAUCUGCUAGAACAAACAGAAACUCCUCUCCCGCUGUCCUCCUGUGCCCAGAUUGCGGGGCAUAACUGUUUUGCCUCCAAUCAUCAUCGGGGGGCAUAUCUACUCUUCGAGGACCAGAGGCUCGAGACCCAGGAAUAGGACCCAAAUUCCAAGCUGACCUCAGGGGUUCAUGAAGACUGCUUGAUGGUGGAGACACAGGGUGAACAAGGGGAGGGUGGGAGGAUGAAUGGAAAAUAUCGCCCCAGGACUGAGCAUGAGGAACCUGAAGGCCCUGGCGCCUUUCUGGUAGUGUGGCAGUGUGUGUCAGUUGAGGCUUGCACCCUGGAGUACUCAGGAAUCUGGCCCCAAUAUGCUGGUUGGUCUCUGACCAUGGUCCCCAAGAGGCAUCUAUUCUGGAACGAUGGGGGAGACUCUGGUAGUUCAGAGUCCUUCCUGUGUACUUGGCCCCCUGGCAAGUUUCACCCCUGUCACACAUAGCCAGAAACUGCUGGACACUCCUCGAAGUUCCUGGGAAGAGAAAAAGAAACCCAAAUAUUAAGCAUCUUCAGUAAACCACUCUCCUUUCCAGAGGACCAUUCCUGACUGUACCUCCCAACUCCCCACACUUCCAAGAGCAUACACCUCAGGGGAAGAAGCCUGGCUUUGCUUUUAAUUUCAUUUUUAAGAAUUCUUAAUAUACAUCAAAAUCAAGUCUCUUAACCUCCUACCUGGGCAAAUGCUGCCAUACUUCCACCUCACUCCACUAUAAUUCUUCCACCACUCCCUCCCAAUGAAUGGCUCUACUCAGUGUAACAACUCUACUCUUAGAGCCACCACUCCAAAACAUCACUCUGCUUUUCUUAAUUUGGUACCUUCCCUCCAGUUAAUCUGUUCCUGCUUACAUUCUUGCUCAGUCUUUGAGAUCUCUGUUUUUAUUCACACUACUCCUACCACAUAUACAGUGUGGAAUGCCUUUUCUACACAUUAAUUCCCCUUUACUUAAAAAAAACACACACACACACAAUUUUAAAAAUCACUUCUAAAAAAUACUUUCCAUUCAUUAUUUUAUAGCCCAUCAACAUCUGCAAUAUAUUCUUAUAUGCAUGUACAUUCUGAUAUUUCUGCUCUGAACCUUUUCAGAACAAAGAGAGCUGCCUUCUUUCUCCCCUAUAUUCACUGUAGCAUUAAGUGCAGAACAGGCUGCACUAAAAUGCUGCCUGAUGGAUCAGAUCCCCCUAACAACCGUCAAAGGGGGCUGGCUACCUGGCUGUUCCACUGAGUGAUAGGAAGUUCAUCUACUCAGAAUGCCUGCUUAUCCAAACCUCCCUAAAAUUUGGACACAUAUCAGCAAUACUACUCUUCUCUUCUAGAACCACAACCACCACCCCCCACACCCCAAGGCAUUUAUAUCUGUAAGCCAGGGUUUUUCCGAUCUCAACACUACUGAUAUUUUGAACUGAUACUAUCUGUUCGAGGGGCGGAGGUGGGGGUUGGGGGGAGUAGGUAAACUGCCCUGUGCUUUGUAGGAUGUUUAGCAGUGUCCUGGCUUCCACUUACUAGAUGCCAGUAGUAUCUCCGAUUUCCCAUUGAGAAUCACUACCUUAAGCUAUAGAGUCAGCCUCUUCAUUAGGAAGAAAAGUAGCAAACCUUGCUAUAGAGGGUCAAAGAAGGCCAAAAGGAUGCUACCCACCUCCCCUAGAAUUGUCUGAGUCUGUAUAUAUAAUACAGGUAUUCCAUACACAGGGUCUUUCCAGGUUUCCCAUUCAUUCCUUGUCCUAGACUAUACCUCAGCUGAGACUCGAGGGAUAGUAGGAAAGAAACUAGCUGAUAGAUGACACUUUUGGUUUUGGGAGGAUCCUAAAGACUGGGUAUUAACUCCCCUUCAUCACUUAUAAGCUUAUCAUGAUAGAUUCAGUUUAGUUUCUAAGUAUCUAGACCAAAGCCCCCAAAAUCAAAGAAUCUUGUUGCCCAAAUAAUGAUUCAAUUGCAAUUCACCUAGACCAAUGAUCGAUCUUAAAGUGGUAAUUCAUAUCCCUUUACCACCCACCUUGGGACUCCCACACCCCCCAAUAGGUAUAUGAUUUGAUCUUUCUAGGUCAUCCUUGGAAAGUACCACAUUCUGGCACAUAAUAUUAGAUUUGGGGAGAGUUACCUGGGGGUCUAUGGGGCUCCCCUGUCAUGCUGGGCAUCAAGACAUCUGGGGACAGGAACUGUGGUUGGGGUGGGUAGAGUUGGGGACCAAGGAGAAAUACAGGAGGGUCACGGAUGACAGGGAGGGAAGAGAAGCUGGAACAACGGUGCCCGGUUUCCAAAGGCUUUUUCCUCGCAUUUGAUGAAUCCUUAUAAUGAGACAAGACAAAAAAACAUAAAGAUGAGGAUUAACACACAGCAGGAUAUGAUUGGGUAAACACAAUGAGGCAAGCAGGGGGAAAUGGAGGGGAUUAGAGUACCAAUAUGCCUAGUUCUGGAGAGGGACUCAGUUGACUCACUCUUCCCAUCCUCCUCUAGGGACAUCUAGACCACUAUGACCUAGAGACACAGAACUGCAGAUCCUCUUCCUUUGACCUGUCUUUCUCAUAGCCUUCACGUUCCCACUCUUUAAUGAUGCUAACAGUAGAAAGAGACUGAGAUAGAAAUUUAAAAAUAGAGAAGAAAUAGGAAAGAGAAAAAAAUGAGAAAGCCCCAGAGCCUGAAAAAGAAAAUUCUAUAUGUUCUCUAAAUAUUGAGAACUAAAAAUGUAUCUCCCUAAAUGUACAAUCAAGAACUCUGCUACUUCACCUUCUCUCCUGUCACUGCUAUAUUCCAGUCUCCUCUUUUGCCAGUCAAGUUUGUAACCACUGAUGCUUGUGUCAAUGACUAUACUCCACUAGUCAUUCACAAAGUCUCAGAAAUAUCCCCUUUAACAUCUGAAACACUAAGAUCUCCAAAAUCAAACCAACAUCCUUCCAUUCCAAACUCCACCUCCUGGUACCACAUUUUCCUAAGUCACCUAGAUUCAAAAUGUUGACAUUGUCCUUAAUUUUGCACUUCUCAUCCACUAUUCCAUUAGUUGCCUUUGUCAAGAACACUCAUUUAUACCCUUAGGUUUUAUAUUUAAACUUAACUGGAUGUUUGGAGUGUCAU